rnacentral:lncRNA from 1 species
GGACCAAGUCUCACACAUAUGAUGAAUCAUGCCACAGGAUCGAAUGUCACAUCUUUACUAUAUAAUAGGAGUUUUGUACAAAAUAAAUAAAUAAUUACAUUAUAAGGAGACAACGGUCCAGCAACCCAAAGUUGACUGGGAGACGACGGCCUAGACCUCUCACGAACACAUCGCAGCAACCACCAUGCACCUCAUCUUGCGGUACCUGUUCUUGACCUGUGGGGGGGUGUGAGACAGCAAGACUGAGCUCACAUACGUUCAUCACUCAACAAGUUGUGGGGAAUAAUGUGCAUGAACUCGCCAAAGGUGGGAGCUCACGUGAAGUGUAAGGCUUACCAAAGAGGAUGGUUAGAGCUGAGCAUUGCUUUUAAAGUUGGUCAAAAUUUUAUUAGCAAUUACUAAGUAUAAGUAAAUACCAACCCAAUUAAGUAGCAGAACAAAAGUAACAACCUCACCUGCGAUGCAAUGCAUAUGACAAAUUGAAUUUAGUUCCAUAAAUUAAUCAUGUGAGUGUCCGAGCUGCUCAUGACCGUGAGCACGGCUAGUAUACCAGUUUUACACUCUGCAGAGGUUGCACAUCUUUACCCACAAGUCAUGUUACCCAUCUGCCAAGAGACGGCCAAUCCCAUACACCUCUACCGAGGAGGCGAGGCAGGGUAACACUACGAGGCCUUUACAAAGUUCCACUAGCUUCAGAAAACCCGCUACAGUUUAUAGGAAGCUCCAAUGCAGGAAUCCCUCGCAUGACCGCCAUCGCAGCAAAAUCAUCCCAAGGGCCUCCCUACACUGACCACUCCCCUACUGCCCUUGCCCCUUUCGAGUAAGGUAAUCAUCCACUAGCUUUCCUAGUUAAUCAGCCAAGGGCGUCCAUAAACCCUUGUGGUAGCACUGUUUUCCCGGGUGGUUCUCCAUGUUCCAAUUAACAUAAUGAUCUUAUCAUGAAUAGUAAAUAACAACUGAUAACAAAAGUGUAAUCAUGAAUAAUGUAUCUCCAUACCCAAAACCACAUAUAGCACUAGCAAGUACUACCCAGAAAGUUCAGUGGUAAACAAGGUAUAAAGAUAGACAAACUAGGGUAUCCUAUUGGGUCCCAUCAAAAUUAACCUAUGCAGAUCAUUAUGAUUAAUUAGAACAUGAGUGGGUAAAAAGAAGUGAUCAAGGGCACAACUUGCCUGGGACUUGAGAUUCCAGGUACCAACUUGCUCUUCAGAUGACACGAAACCUCAGGCUAGUCGUAGCAAUACAAAUAAACAUGGUAUUGGCAAGAUUAACAUCACACCAAACAUAAGAAUAAGUUGCGUAAUAAUAAUCUACGCAUCGCUACGAGAUCGCGGGAUCGAGAACCGCUAAAUUCGGAGUUACGGUUAUUGAGUUAUGUAUUUAUGAAGUUAUUGAGUACAUGGUAUAGUUUAAUUUAGAUGAAUAAUUUUAAUUCAUGUUACAUUGCUAAACAGAGGUACUAAGUGGUAGACAAUAUUAAAACAAAAUUAUUGCAACUGGAACGGAUCAAUUUGGAGCUAAAGUGGAUUAACUAUGAAUUAUACAAGUUUAUGGAGUUAUUUUCAUACUAAAAACCUAUUUCUUUAUUAAUUUCUGAAUAUCCUACGUGUUCUGGACUGGGCACAUUAUUUCUUAAAAGAUCAGGGGCCAAAAUGACAAUUGUCCCAAGACUCAGUAUUCCCACAGUAUGGACUGUGGGUUGAAUCUGGAAAACCAGAGGGUCUCUUUUGCAUAAUCGCACAUCCAAAAGGGUAUCUUGUGUUUUGAGCCGUUGGAUGCAAUUCUGAGGGCCACGAUUAGAUCCACUUGAGUCCGAACCGGUAUGCUCUAUCAAUCGUUGGAUCAAAAACCGUUGGCCCAGAUUUUAAUGUACUGCGAUCAGUUUAAUACGUGCGAUCUCGAUCCAACGGCUCAUGCAUUGGUUAUCCCUAGAUCUAAUCCGGUGCGCACAACAUGGAUCCAACGGCCAAAGGGAUUUCUUCCCAACCAACUGGACAACCACGACGGCGCACCAAAAUCUCACGGCGGUGCUCCACCGACGCACCCCAAUCGGCGCCCCGAGCUUUCGUUUUCCCAAACCGUUAGGUGCUAAAUCGAGAGGGAAGCAAGGUGAAAAGCUUGGGAAUGCACACACCUUGAAUAAUGUCGCGCCAUGCUUGGUUGACGACGGAUGGCGGCCCACGGCGGAGCACUAUCUCCGGUGAGCAAUUACUGGUGCUCCGGUGGAUUACUUCACCCGGGAAGGCCAAGAAAACCACCAUAACAACCCAAUGAAUCCCCCAAGCCCUUAGAUUGUCCCGAAUAACGAAAAGGUCAAGGAUUUCAAUGGCACCCCCUGUUCUCGCCCGCACACGACGAGGGGGCAUGCUGGUGGCUCACUGCGACCCGACUGCUUGUGCAAGGCAGAGGAGGUCUAGGUUAUAUAAUGGCCGAGGGAGAGAGUUCGGCGAUGGGGUUUGGCUGCAGCAGCGGGGUUCG